ACGGAGAGUAUGAUACCGGCUCAGAGCGAACGCUGGCGGCGUGGAUUAGGCAUGCAAGUCGAACGCGCACGACGGGAGCUUGCUCCCGUACGGCGAGUGGCGAAAGGGUGAG
rnacentral:rRNA from 1 species